CCCCGGGCUUAACCUGGGAACUGCGUUNUGAACUGGGUGGCUAGAGUAUGUCAGAGGGGGGUAGAAUUUCCNCGUGUAGCAGUGAAAUGCGUAGAGAUGUGGAGGAAUACCGAUGGCGAAGGCUGCCCCNUGGGAUAAUACUGACGUUCAUGCUCGAAAGCGUGGGUAGCAAACAGGAUUAGAUACCCUGGUAGUCCACGCCCUAAACGAUGUCGAUUAGCUGUUGGGCAACUUGAUUGCUUAGUAGCGUAGCUAACGCGUGAAAUCGACCGCCUGGGGAGUACGGUCGCAAGAUUAAAACUCAAAGGAAUUGACGGGGACCCGCACAAGCGGUGGAUGAUGUGGAUUAAUUCGAUGCAACGCGAAGAACCUUACCUGGUCUUGACAUGUACGGAACCUUUCAGAGACGGAAGGGUGCCUUCGGGAGCCGUAACACAGGUGCUGCAUGGCUGUCGUCAGCUCGUGUCGUGAGAUGUUGGGUUAAGUCCCGCAACGAGCGCAACCCUUGUCAUUAGUUGCCAUCAUUUAGUAGGGCACUCUAAUGAGACUGCCGGUGACAAACCGGAGGAAGGUGGGGAUGACGUCAAGUCCUCAUGGCCCUUAUGACCAGGGCUUCACACGUCAUACAAUGGUCGGUACAGAGGGUAGCCAAGCCGCGAGGUGGAGCCAAUCCCAGAAAACCGAUCGUAGUCCGGAUUGCACUCUGCAACUCGAGUGCAUGAAGUCGGAAUCGCUAGUAAUCGCAGGUCAGCAUACUGCGGUGAAUACGUUCCCGGGUCUUGUACACACCGCCCGUCACACCAUGGGAGUGGGGGAUACCAGAAGCAGGUAGGGU
rnacentral:rRNA from 1 species